rnacentral:rRNA from 1 species
UUGAUCCUGGCUCAGAAUCAACGCUGGCGGCGUACCUAACACAUGCAAGUCGAACGCGAAAGCCCCGCAAGGGGCAAGUAGAGUGGCAAACGGGUGAGUUACACGUGGGUGACCUGCCUUCGAGCGGGGGAUAACGUCCCGAAAGGGUCUCUAAUACCGCAUGACAUCCUGCCUUUGAAGAGGCGGAGAUCAAAGCUGGUGAUCGCAAGACCUAGCACUCGAAGAGGGGCCCGCGCCUGAUUAGCUAGUUGGUGGGGUAACGGCUCACCAAGGCGACGAUCAGUAGCCGGCCUGAGAGGUCGGACGGCCACACUGGGACUGAGACACGGCCCAGACUCCUACGGGAGGCUGCAGUGGGGAAUUGUUCGCAAUGGGCGCAAGCCUGACGACGCAACGCCGUGUGGAGGACGAAGACCUUCGGGUCGUAAACUCCUUUCGAUCGAGACGAAUGGCCUCCGGGUGAAUAAUCCGGGGGAAUGACGGUACCGAGAGAAGAAGCUCCGGCUAACUCCGUGCCAGCAGCCGCGGUAAUAAGGU